rnacentral:misc_RNA from 1 species
CCGAGUUUACAACUCCCAAACCAUUGUGAACCUUACCUUUUCGUUGCUUCGGCGGGAUCGCCCCGGGCGCCAUCGCGUGCCCCGGAACCAGGCGCCCGCCGGGGGACCUAGACUCUGUCGUUUAGUGGUAUUUCUGAGUGGAUUAUCAAAUAAUCA